rnacentral:rRNA from 1 species
GACGAACGCUGGCGGCGUGCUUAACACAUGCAAGUCGAACGGAAAGGCCCUGCUUUUGUGGGGUGCUCGAGUGGCGAACGGGUGAGUAACACGUGAGUAACCUGCCCUUGACUUUGGGAUAACUUCAGGAAACUGGGGCUAAUACCGGAUAGGAGCUCCUGCUGCAUGGUGGGGGUUGGAAAGUUUCGGCGGUUGGGGAUGGACUCGCGGCUUAUCAGCUUGUUGGUGGGGUAGUGGCUUACCAAGGCUUUGACGGGUAGCCGGCCUGAGAGGGUGACCGGCCACAUUGGGCCUGAGGUACGGCCCAGACUCCUACGGGGGGCAGCGGUGGGGAGUAUUGCCCAGUGGGCGGAAGCCUGAUGCAGCAACGCCGCGUGCGGGAUGACGGCCUUCGGGUUGUAAACCGCUUUCGCCUGUGACGAAGCGUGAGUGACGGUAAUGGGUGAAGAAGCACCGGCUAACUACGUG